rnacentral:rRNA from 1 species
UACGAGGGGGGCGAGCGUUGUUCGGAAUUAUUGGGCGUAAAGGGUGCGUAGGCGGUUUGGUAAGUCUGAUGUGAAAUCUAUGGGCUCAACUCAUAGUCUGCAUCGGAAACUGCCGGGCUUGAGUAUGGGAGAGGUGAGUGGAAUUCCUGGUGUAGCGGUGAAAUGCGUAGAUAUCAGGAGGAACACCUGUGGCGAAAGCGGCUCACUGGACCAUAACUGACGCUGAGGCGCGAAAGCUAGGGGAG